rnacentral:rRNA from 1 species
GGGGCGGGCGGGUUGCUAUACAUGCAAGUCGAACGCUUCUUUUACCACCGGAGCUUGCUCCACCGGAAAAAGAGGAGUGGCGAACGGGUGAGUAACACGUGGGUAACCUGCCCAUCAGAAGGGGAUAACACUUGGAAACAGGUGCUAAUACCGUAUAACAAUCGAAACCGCAUGGUUUUGAUUUGAAAGGCGCUUUCGGGUGUCGCUGAUGGAUGGACCCGCGGUGCAUUAGCUAGUUGGUGAGGUAACGGCUCACCAAGGCCACGAUGCAUAGCCGACCUGAGAGGGUGAUCGGCCACAUUGGGACUGAGACACGGCCCAAACUCCUACGGGAGGCAGCAGUAGGGAAUCUUCGGCAAUGGACGAAAGUCUGACCGAGCAACGCCGCGUGAGUGAAGAAGGUUUUCGGAUCGUAAAACUCUGUUGUUAGAGAAGAACAAGGAUGAGAGUAACUGUUCAUCCCUUGACGGUAUCUAACCAGAAAGCCACGGCUAACUACGUGCCAGCAGCCGCGGUAAUACGUAGGUGGCAAGCGUUGUCCGGAUUUAUUGGGCGUAAAGCGAGCGCAGGCGGUUUCUUAAGUCUGAUGUGAAAGCCCCCGGCUCAACCGGGGAGGGUCAUUGGAAACUGGGAGACUUGAGUGCAGAAGAGGAGAGUGGAAUUCCAUGUGUAGCGGUGAAAUGCGUAGAUAUAUGGAGGAACACCAGUGGCGAAGGCGGCUCUCUGGUCUGUAACUGACGCUGAGGCUCGAAAGCGUGGGGAGCAAACAGGAUUAGAUACCCUGGUAGUCCACGCCGUAAACGAUGAGUGCUAAGUGUUGGAGGGUUUCCGCCCUUCAGUGCUGCAGCUAACGCAUUAAGCACUCCGCCUGGGGAGUACGACCGCAAGGUUGAAACUCAAAGGAAUUGACGGGGGCCCGCACAACCGGUGGAGCAUGUGGUUUAAUUCAAAACAACGCGAAGAACCUUACCAGGUCUUGACAUCCUUUGACCACUCUAGAGAUAGAGCUUCCCCUUCCGGGGCAAAUGACAGGGGGUGCAGGGUUGUCGCCGCCCGCGUCCCGGAAAGUUGGGUUUAAUCCCGCAAC